GAUGAAGAACGUAGCGAAAUGCGAUAAGUAAUGUGAAUUGCAGAAUUCAGUGAAUCAUCGAAUCUUUGAACGCACAUUGCGCCCGGCAGUACUCUGCCGGGCAUGCCUGUUCGAGCGUCAUUUCAACCCUCAAGCCCUGCUUGGUGUUGGGAUCCCACGGCCGCCGUGGGCCCUGAAAGGAAGUGGCGGGCUCGCUACAACUCCGAGCGUAGUAAUUCAUUAUCUCGCUUAGGGCGUUGGGCGGCGCUCCUGCCGUUAAAGAACCAUCUUUAACUCAAGGUUGACCUCGGAUCAGGUAGGAAUACCCGCUGAACUUAAGCAUAUCAAUAAGCGGAGGA
rnacentral:misc_RNA from 1 species